rnacentral:rRNA from 1 species
CGUAGGUCCCGAGCGUUAUCCGGAUUUAUUGGGCGUAAAGACGAGCGCAGGCGGUUAGAUAAGUCUGAAGUUAAAAGGACUGUGGCUUAACCAUAGUACGCUUUGGAAACUGUUUAACUUGAGUGCAAGAGGGGAGAGUGGAAUUCCAUGUGUAGCGGUGAAAUGCGUAGAUAUAUGGAGGAACACCGGUGGCGAAAGCGGCUCUCUGGCUUGUAACUGACGCUGAGGCUCGAAAAGCGUGGGGAGCAAACAGGAUU